rnacentral:rRNA from 1 species
AUGCCAAGGGCGUGGAGCAGGGGAUUCACAAGCAGAUGCAUAUCAUCAGCAACCCCUGAGACCUCGUGCAACAUCAAGAUGCUGGUGUCCUGCCUCCAUUUGUUCGCCACGGUCGCUGCCUCAUGUCAGGUAUAUGGCGAGGACACAAAUUUGGGUGUCCAGCUCCUUGCCUGCAUGUGCAAAGAAUUCAGAACCUGCAGAUUAUUUUGUGUAUGUGACUACAAGGUGUUGGAAAUCCAAUCAGACUUGCAGCAGAUGAAGCCAACGCGGACGAUGAUUAACUUCUCUGACCUUAUGGGAUCGGUGGCAGCGAGAUCCGCAAGGAGAACGAGGUGGCGCCGCAAGAUGGCAAGAACGGUGCGGCAGCGGGGUGGGCAAGAAGAUGAGGCUCCAGGUUUGGCUGAUUGCUCGGAUGAUGAGUAUCAUAACCCACACAAGAAAUAUAGAAAAGGUAAAGCGAAGACACAGUCCAUUUGGUUUGUCAUUUUGAAGGCACAGAUAGAAACAAGAACACCAUAUAUGUUCUAUAAGGACAGAGUUCUGCCGUUUCAGUGGUGCCAAGAUAUACCCGGGGAAUGCAUCAGAUUCGUCUAUUCAGACUCUCGAGUCUUCCUUUUUUCCAACUCAAAGUGCAAGCGCUAUUUCCACAACCAUCUUAAGCCUGGUAAGCUUAUAUGGAAUGCCAUGUACAGGAAGCAGCACAAGAACUAUAUUCGUGUUGAGGCUGCAAAGAAGAGGCACCGCGCCAUCAAGAGUCCUUAUGGUCUCGCUGAUCAUCGCCUCUGGACGCGCCAUUGA